CAAAAAAAAAAAAAAAAAAAAAAAAAAGAUGCUGUUGCAUUUCAGAGACAAGAGUGCUUUGGACCAGCAUAGACAUGGAAACAGUAAGAGAUGGCUAGAUUGUGGAUGAUGUUCUUUGAAAGUGGAACCAACAGCUUUGCUGAUGGAUUGGACGUGGGUAAUGAGAGAUGGGAUGAUGAUACCAAGGGUUUUGGAGUUGCCAUUUGCUAAGAUGAGGAAUACUGAAGGAAAAACAGGUUUGCUGGAUGGGAAUCAGAAAUUCAGGUUUGGAAUAUGUUAGGUCUGAGAUGCCUAGGAGACAUCCCACGGGUGAGAAGCAGGAGUUCAGGUAGAAGUCUGGACUGGAGAAAUAAAUGUGUGAGGCAUCAGAAACAGAUGGUAUUUAAGCCAUAAAACAGAAUGAGAUUACCUAGGUGUGAGUUACCCCAUGUUUGAAAGUCAACUAAAAACCAGACAGCCCCAAGUCUUAGGCUAAGCAGAUCAUUUUUGUGGGGAGGGAAGAAGUCAUAACAGAGCUUGGAAGCUCAGCACAUAUUUAUAUGCCAGAUCCAGUUUUUACCAGACGUCUCAAAAUGGUUCAAGAAAGUCAACGCAUAUGUACAGACAGGAAAGACAGCAAGCCUCCAAAGAUAGAUAGGAGCUGAUUUAGAAGGGAGAGGGGAACAGUUAUCGAUCACAGCUUGCUUGUUACAUGGCCUCAUCUGCCCUGUAGAUUCCAGGGAAACUGGGGACUUAAUAACAAUAUCCUAGCUCGAGAAAGCUAGAAGCACAGAAGGGAGUGCCUAUGAGUUUAUCCCAUCCUGUUUCCUUUUGUUUUAUUAUUUUCAAGGGGCACUUGUAAUUUUAGUAAGACAACUGGAGAAUCUUUUCAGCAUAAAUGGCGUAAGAAUUUUUAACCAACAAGAUCCUUUCUUUCUCACUCUUUUCAACCAGCAAAACAGUAAGGGAUAGACCAACUUUUGCUACUGAAAGGACUGAUUUUUUUUUUUUUUUUUGAGACGGAGUCUUGCUCUGUCGCCCAGGCUGGAGUGCAGCGGCACAGUCUCGGCUCACUGCAACCUCCGCCUCCUGGGUUCAAGCAAUUCUCCUGCCUCAGCCUCCGGAGUAGCUGGGACUACAGGUGUGUGCCACCAUGCCCGGCUAGUUUUUUGUAUUUUUAGUAGAGAUGGGGUUUCACCAUGUUAGCCAGGAUGGUCUCAAUCUCCUGACCUUGUGAUCCUCCUGCCUCGGCCUCCCAAAGGACUGAUUGUUUUAUAGAACUUGAUGUUGGGAUAAAACUAGGGACCAGUGGUCCUAAAUGCCCAUUCCCUCCUCUAGCUGGUGGAAGUACUAGUAGCUCCUUAGGACAUGCGUCCCCUUUAACAUGUAGUUAAUUAUCAAACAUAUAUUUGCAACACUACGUUAAUGCAAAUAAGAAAUUUUGCUGCCUCUUCUCAUAAAGUUUUCAAGUAAAUAGUUCUUUAUGGUUGCCCUACAGGUUAUUGUUGGUUUGUUUGUCUUACUAACUUUUCCUUGGCUCUCACUCACCCAGACUCCUCAUUGUUGACUGAGAACUCCUACAUUUACUGGUAACCUUAUUAAAAUUAGACUCUGCAUUUCAUAAUCUAUGAUGGUAACAUUUUGUUCAAUUUACUGACACACUUAAGUUGACCAAAAUUACUUGAGCAGAAAGCUCUGUAAGAACCAUUGAUUGCUUUUAUUCCUUUCCUGGGGCAAAAUGCUUCAACUUCCUAUAAGACAAGAGCCUUCUCUUCAGAUCCAGACCUGUUUCCCAGCAAAACCAACAACAGCUCUCACUGUUAUUCCCAGUUGUUAAUGGGCAUGAACAACAGGAUCUGCUCUGACAGAGCCAACCACACAGAUAGAAAGAUUUGGUGGCCUCUCCCUGGUAUGAUUUAAGGAGAGUGGAAAAGUCUCUAUACAGAAAUCUCUCCCAGACUCCCUGAGCCCUGCUGCCUGAAACUCUACCAUUAAUGAAUCAUUUCUUUACAUUCAGGAUUGUCUUCUGGAGAACAAUCUUCAAAGGGGCACCAUAUUUAAGUCAGUCUGGUGGCCAAGAGGGUGGGAAGGGGGCACUACAGAAAGAGAAAAAGAGGAAGAGAGCUGAAAUAAAGGUGGUAACACAAGACUUUGUGUGCUGACAGUCCUAUUAAAGGCUGUUUUGCAACACUGGUGCAACCAGAGUGGGUAACAAUUAUGAGAGAAUGAUUCCAGUAUGGCUCAAACCCACACGCACAUGCCUAAUGUGGUCUUAUUAUUUAUUUAUGUGAAAGCUUAAUAAAUAAGUACAGAUUCAACCUGAUUUGUAAUCAGCCUGCUAACUCAAUACAAAUUAUAGGUUCCUUUAAGACAGUGAUUUUCAACUGUAGGCAAUUUCACCCCACUCUCCCAGAGGUUCUUGGCAAUAUCUGAAGACAUUUUUUGGUUGUCACAAGUGUGGGGGUAGGUAAGAAGUUCCACUGGCAUCGAAUGUGUAGAGGUCAGAGAUGACGCUAAACAUCCUAUAAUGCUCAGGACAGCCUCUUCCCAAUUGUCCAUCCCCAAAGUCAAUUGUGCUGCAGUUAGGAAACCCUGCUUUAGGAUUAUAGGCAAGUCGCCAGGCUUGCAGAGAUGAUAGAAUUGUGAUGUAAUAAUUUUCUCUUAUGCUUUGCACUGGACCACAAAUGCACGCAUAUAAACCAUGAACAUGAAAUGUAGCCUCUGUUUGUUAUUUGUCUUCAAAAAUUCAUCACGAUGUCCAGCCCCACAGUCUGCUAUUUGGAGAGUUGGUUUUCGGGCCCCUUGUUUGAUCUAUUCCCUACCGCCUCAGUAGCCAGAAGGAGCAGCUAGGAAUCUUAGCCAAUUCAUAGGAAGAGACUCCAGGCCCCUGUUCAAGUGACACUCCUAAUCAGUGAGUUCUUUUUGAGAAAAUCUCCUAUAAAUAAAUUGUUCAAUUGAUGGGUCUUGAUGAGGAGCAAAAAUGCCUUAGUUCCCAGCUUCUCACUAUCCCAGCCAAAUUCACAGCAGACAGAUGCCAUGUGAGGCCCUCUUCUAGCCGGGCAACUUCCAUAUUUCUCUUCCCUCUGCUGAGUAGUAAUCCCCUCUGACCUUACCUCUACUACAAUGUGGGUUCUUCAGCCUUCACAUUUUCUUCUCCAUCACACUCCCUCCUUCCCCACGAGCAAGAGCAGGUGACUAACAGCUGGUAAAGAAGGACCUGCCAUUGGUUACCAGUUCCUUCAGUUGACUGAUUGAUGCACUUUUUUUUUUUUUUUUUUUUGAGAUACAGUCUCCCUGGCUGGGGUGCAGUGGCACGACCUCAGCUCACCACAACCUCUGCCUCCUGGGUUCAAGCGAUUCUCCUGCCUCAGCCUCCCGAGUAGCUGGGAUUACAGGCACCCACCACCAAGCCCUGCUAAUUUUUUUUUUUUUUUUUUUUUUUUUAGUAGAGAUGGGGUUUCACCACAUUGGCCAGGCUAGUGUCAAGCUUCUCACUUUAAGUGAUCCACCCACCUCGCCCUCCCAGAGUGCUAGGAUUACAGGCGUGAGCUGCUGCGCCUGGUCGAUUGAUGCACUUUUAGUGACAACUCUCCACACUCAACAAUAACCGCAUAAGGGACUCGUGGAAUAAAAGGGUUUCUCUAUUCCUCUCUCCACUUGGGCAAAGCCACUCUAGACUCAAAAAGCUGCAGAGAGAUCUUGGGUGAGGGUAGACCAUGUCCUAAAAGCCUGUUGCUUUGUCUGAAGGUAAGUCUGCUUUAGUCUUGAAAACUCAUUUGGAAAAGGAGAGAGGUGUGAUAAGAGGUGCAUCCUCGGAAGGGACCCAGCAUAGUCAGCUGUCCUUACCCAGGCACUCCCUGACUUAGGGACAAUCCGCCAAGUUGGCUGAAUCACUGGAAACCUGAGCUGGGAAUGGAAGAAACGUUUUCAAUCCUUUCUCAACCCAAACCCACACUACUCUUAAAAGAAUAGCCUUAGCUAACAAUCCUCUCUCUGCAGGCUUUCUUCUGGCUUCUGAUUGUCGAUCACUCAAUUGAUCUAUUAAUCAAUUCUUCCCCUUAGGACUAGAACACCUAGAUACACAUAUACACAUGUAAAAUAAAUAUUUUAUAUUUUCUCACAAAUAUCUACUGGACCUUACUUUAACAAUGGAAGACUUCUUUUCUUUUAGUACUAGAAGUGCCCUGAUCUAGCAUCACAGAACUCUCCUUUCACAGUCCUAUAUUACUUCUGACUCUGAUUAUGAAGGUUCUGAUAACAUGUGCCUGAGGAAUGCACCCUCUUGGCUAAUGGAAGCAUCACUGUGCUGUAGUCACGAUCUCUGUUCUGGAGACUCUGGUUUUAACCUGAUUGGGACCUGACUGGUAUCUGUAGGAUAAAAGAGAAAUGUUGCUGAGUAGUGAAGAGAAUAUGUCCAGACCUCCAGCCAGAGGCAGAAAAGGAAGGAGGAUGGGAGGGAACUGAGCUAAUCUUCAUUCUUCCAGAAGAGAUACGGAGGCUGGAAAACAUCUUAUACAUAACAGCCGAGUCACGGCUCACUCCUCUUUAUGCUCCUUUCUGUAAGGCACUAAGGGAAAAGAAAAAUAAAUUUUAAAAAAAGUUCCUUUUUUUCCCCUAGUUUUUAUUCUUUUAGCCAAGUUGUGACAAGCCACUGAUUUCUACCCUAUAAAUUAUUUAAAAUUCCACCUUUGCAUCAGGAUUGGAAAAUCAAUCUCCCUGAUUAAAAAGUGAACAGCUUCACGUUUCUAAAUGUCUCUUUAAUCUUUUAAUUAGAGGAGCCUGGUCCCUCCUCUUCCUGUGCGGAACCUGAGAUUCCAACAGCUGGACGCAAAGCGCUCUAGCGGGGAUUCUGGUCUAGGGAGAGUCCCUGUUUCCCCUUUUCUUCCUUUUUCACCAAUAAAGCCCUGCCUUACUCACCAAUCACAUUGUCUGGGAGCCUGAAUUUUCAUGGCCGUGGGACAGAGAAUCGCAUCUUUAGCUGAACUAAGGAAAAGUCCUGCAACAGUGACGUGUUCCACCAUCUUGCCCACCAUGUGCUUAUGAUAAUGUGAGUCUGUAAAACUCUUGGUUUUAAAGGACAACUUCUUUUUCUUUUUUUUCUUUCUUUCUUUUUUUUUUUUCUUCGAGACGGUGUUUGGCUCUUGUUGACCAGGCUGGAGUGCAAUGGUGCGAUCUUGGCUCACCGCAACCUCCGCCUUCCGGGUUCAAGCGAUUCUCCUGCCUCAGCCUCCGGAGUAGCUGGGAUUACAGGCAUGCGCCACCACGCCUGGCUAAUUUUGUAUUUUUAGUAGAGAGGGUUUCUCCAUGUUGGUCAGUCUGGUCUCAAACUCCCGGCCUCAGGUGAUCCGCCCGCCUCGGCCUCCCAAAGUGCUGGGAUUACAGGCGUGAGCCACCCUGCCCGGCCGACAGCCUCUUUUUCUAUCCGUUUUACCAAUCACCACCUCAAUCUCUUGGAAAUAAUGAGGAUUUGUAUUCUCGAAUAUUUUUCUAAUUUCAGCACUAGAUGCUUCAAAAUCCAGCCUUGAGCUAAUUUAGAUGCCCCAAGUAAGCUGAUGUGGUAUUAUAAUGGUGUGAUGACUUCCCUUAUAAAAACAACUUUAAAAUGCUGUGUGUUUAUGUACUUAAAAUUUUUAUUUUAAAUCUCUUUUGUCUGAAGCCCUGUAAUCUUCUUUGGAAAAUACACACUGUACCUGUUUUUUUUUUUUUUUCCUAUGGGAUUGGAAGGAUCUUCAGCUCAAAGCACUGCUUCA
rnacentral:lncRNA from 1 species